rnacentral:piRNA from 1 species
UCAGGACAUGACAAGUUCCUCAGGGCAAA